UAGGGAAUCUUCGGCAAUGGACGGAAGUCUGACCGAGCAACGCCGCGUGAGUGAAGAAGGUUUUCGGAUCGUAAAGCUCUGUUGUAAGAGAAGAACGAGUGUGAGAGUGGAAAGUUCACGCUGUGACGGUAUCUUACCAGAAAGGGACGGCUAACUACGUGCCAGCAGCCGCGGUAAUACGUAGGUCCCGAGCGUUGUCCGGAUUUAUUGGGCGUAAAGCGAGCGCAGGCGGUUAGAUAAGUCUGAAGUUAAAGGCUGUGGCUUAACCAUAGUACGCUUUGGAAACUGUUUAACUUGAGUGCAAGAGGGGAGAGUGGAAUUCCAUGUGUAGCGGUGAAAUGCGUAGAUAUAUGGAGGAACACCGGUGGCGAAAGCGGCUCUCUGGCUUGUAACUGACGCUGAGGCUCGAAAGCGUGGGGAGCAAACAGGAUUAGAUACCCUGGUAGUCCACGCCGUAACGAUGAGUGCUAGGUGUUAGACCCUUUCCGGGGUUUAGUGCCGCAGCUAACGCAUUAAGCACUCCGCCUGGGGAGUACGACCGCAAGGUU
rnacentral:rRNA from 1 species